rnacentral:misc_RNA from 1 species
AAUGUCGUAACAAGGUUUCCGUAGGUGAACCUGCGGAAGGAUCAUUAGUGAUUUGAGCUCCGGCUCUUCAUUUUGCCACACACCUGUGCACCGUGGUCUCCGGACCUACAAAGCAAUUAGUGUAACGAACGUAAUAAACUUAUAAUCAAUAAAACC